CCUACGGGUGGCAGCAGUAGGGAAUCUUUCACAAUGGGCGAAAGCCUGCUGGAGCAACGCCGCGUGGGUGAAGAAGGUCUUCGGAUCGUAAAACCCUGUUGUUAGAGAAGAAAGUGCGUGAGAGUAACUGUUCACGUUUCGACGGUAUCUAACCAGAAAGCCACGGCUAACUACGUCCCAGCAGCCGCGGUAAUACGUAGGUGGCAAGCGUUAUCCGGAUUUAUUGGGCGUAAAGGGAACGCAGGCGGUCUUUUAAGUCUGAUGUGAAAGCAGUCGGCUUAACCGGAGUAGUGCAUUGGAAACUGGGAGAAUUGAGUGCAGGAGAGGAGAGUGGAACUGCAUGUGUAGCGGUGAAAUGCGUAGAUAUAUGGAAGAACACCAGUGGCGAACGCGGCUCUCUGGUCUGUAACUGACGCGGAGGUUCGAAAGCGUGGGUAGCAAACAGGAUUAGAUACCCCAGUAGUC
rnacentral:rRNA from 1 species